UCCAGACUCCUACGGGAGGCAGCAGUGAGGAAUAUUGGUCAAUGGUCGGGAGACUGAACCAGCCAAGCCGCGUGAGGGAUGAAGGUACAGAGUAUCGUAAACCUCUUUUGUCAGGGAACAAAGGCGGGGACGUGUCCCCGGAUGAAUGUACCUGAAGAAAAAGCAUCGGCUAACUCCGUGCCAGCAGCCGCGGUAAUACGGAGGAUGCGAGCGUUAUCCGGAUUUAUUGGGUUUAAAGGGUGCGUAGGCGGGAUGCCAAGUCAGCGGUAAAAAUGCGGUGCUCAACGCCGUCGAGCCGUUGAAACUGGCAGUCUCGAGUUGGAGAGAAGUAUGCGGAAUGCGCGGUGUAGCGGUGAAAUGCAUAGAUAUCGCGCAGAACUCCGAUUGCGAAGGCAGCAUGCCGGCUCCACACUGACGCUGAGGCACGAAAGCGUGAGUAUCGAACAGGAUUAGAUACCCGCGUA
rnacentral:rRNA from 1 species